AUGUCGGUGCUGGAGGAUUUGAUCCGGGCGAUCGAGCUGUGGCUGCGGAUCGCCAAGGAGCAGGUGCCGCUGGUCGACCCCAGCCUCGACCCGGUGCUGCUCGUGCCCGGCAUCGGCGGCUCCAUCCUCGAGGCCGUGGACGAGGCCGGGAACAAGGAGCGGGUCUGGGUGCGCAUCCUCGCCGCCGACCACGAGUGCCGCGAGAAGCUCUGGGCGCAGUUCGAUGCCUCCACUGGCAAAACUAUUUCUGUGGAUGAGAAAAUACGCAUCACUGUCCCGGAGGAUAGGUAUGGAUUGUACGCCAUCGACACAUUGGACCCAGACCUGAUUAUUGGUGAUGACAGUGUUUACUACUAUCAUGACAUGAUAGUGCAAAUGAUUAAAUGGGGAUAUCAAGAAGGCAAAACUCUGUUCGGAUUUGGUUAUGAUUUCCGCCAAAGUAACAGGCUUUCGGAAACACUUGACAAAUUUUCUAACAAGCUAGAGUCAGUAUACACAGCUUCAGGAGGGAAAAAGAUCAAUCUAAUAACACAUUCAAUGGGGGGAUUGCUUGUUAAAUGCUUCAUGUCUCUUCAUGGUGAUGUCUUUGAAAAAUAUGUGAAGAGUUGGGUUGCAAUUGCUGCACCAUUUCAAGGUGCGCCUGGGUACAUAAAUAGUGGUCUGCUGAAUGGAAUGUCUUUUGUGGAAGGAUGGCAAUCAAAAUUCUUCAUUUCCAAAUGGACUAUGCAGCAAUUGUUGAUUGAAUGUCCAUCAAUAUACGAGUUGUUGGCUAGCUCAACCUACCACUGGGAAGAUACACCAUUGCUACAGAUCUGGAAAGAGAGCUUAGAUGACAAUGGCAAGAAAAGUGCCAUACUGGAGUCCUAUGAACCAGAUGAAGCAAUAAAGAUGAUUCAGAAAGCUCUUUCCAAGCAUGAGAUUAUCUCUGAUGGAAAUCACAUUCCUCUGCCCCUUAAUGAGGAUAUAUUAAUAUGGGCAAAGGAAACUCAAGAUAUCUUAUCCCAGGCAAAGCUUCCAAAAUCAGUGAAGUUCUACAAUAUUUACGGGAUUGAUUAUGACACUGCUCAUACUGUUUGCUACGGGAGCAAACGGCACCCUAUUUCAAAUCUUAGUCACCUCUUAUAUACUCAGGGUAAAUACAUCUGUGUUGAUGGUGAUGGAUCCGUUCCCGCAGAAUCAGCAAAGGCGGACGGCCUUGAUGCAGUGGCGAGAAUUGGGGUUGCUGCUGACCACCGAGGAAUCGUCUGCGACCACCGCGUGUUUCGCAUAGUCCAGCAUUGGCUGCACGCGGGUGAACCUGACCCGUUUUACGACCCGCUCAACGACUAUGUCGUCAUCCCAACCAUCUUCGAGGUCGAGAAGCACCACGAGAAACGCGGGGACGUCACGUCGGUCAGGGAGGACUGGGAGAUCAUCUCCCACACCGAUGGCGACGAGGCCAAAAGGCUGGCUGAGCUCCCUGCUAUGGUUGGCGCGAUGUCUGCGUCUUGCGAGGGUAAGGAUGGCCUUAUGGACGAGGCGCAGGCCACCGUGGUGGUCCACCCGGAGAGCGGAGGGCGGCAGCAUGUGGAAGUCAGGGCUGUCGGAGUCAGCCACGGUGGCUAG
rnacentral:rRNA from 1 species